AACCUUACUGGCAGGGGCAAUACCAUGAUCAGUAAGGUGGUUUGCCCAAAGUGAGGCCCAGCCAUUGCACUUGGGCUGUUGUUGACCUUCACAAAUUCCUCAAAUGCGGCAAUCUUGACUGCAUAAUUUAUUAUAGUCAGGGACUGCGUUUACGCUCUCCCCUU